rnacentral:rRNA from 1 species
UACGUAGGGCGCAAGCGUUGUCCGGAAUUAUUGGGCGUAAAGAGCUCGUAGGCGGCCAGUUGCGUCCGCUGUGAAAUCCCGGGGCUUAACCCCGGGCGUGCAGUGGAUACGGGCUUGCUAGAGGCAGGCAGGGGAGAACGGAAUUCCCGGUGUAGCGGUGAAAUGCGCAGAUAUCGGGAGGAACACCGGUGGCGAAGGCGGUUCUCUGGGCCUGUACUGACGCUGAGGAGCGAAAGCGUGGGGAGCGAACAGG